UCCAGUGGCGAUGCCUUGGUGGAUCCACCUGUUCCCAUUCCGAACACAGUAGUUAAGCACCAAGAGGCCGAAAGUACUUGCCUGUAGACGGGCUGGGAGGAUAGGAAGCUGCUGGUU
rnacentral:rRNA from 1 species